rnacentral:rRNA from 1 species
AAUCAACGCUGGCGGCGCGCCUAACACAUGCAAGUCGAACGAGAAAGGUCCUCGGACUGGAGUAAGUGGCAGCAGCGGGCUGAGGUAACAACGUGGAUACCGUACCCACUCCUGGUGGGGAAUGAACUCUGGGAAACCGGGCUAAUACCGCAUAAGUCCGAGAGGAGAAAGCGUAAAGCGCUGGAGGAGGGGUCCGCGGCCGAUUAGCUAGUUGGUGGGGUAAAGGCUCACCAAGGCAAAGAUCGGUAGCCGGCCUGAGAGGGCACACGGCCACACUGGCACUGAAACACGGGCCAGACUCCUACGGGAGGCAGCAGUGGGGAAUCUUGCACAAUGGAGGAAACUCUGAUGCAGCGACGCCGCGUGAGCGAUGAAGCCUUUCGGGGUGUAAAGCUCUUACGCCAGGGGACGAUAGUGACGGUACCUGGAGAAGCAGCUGCGGCUAACUACGUGCCAGCAGCCGCGGUAAUACGUAGGCAGCAAGCGUUGUUCGGAAUUACUGGGCG